GUUAUAGAAGAACUUCUGGAUGAGCUACAUGGAGCAGUGUGGUUCUCAAAGCUUGACUUGCGCGCGGGUUAUCAUCAGAUCAGACUCGCGCCAGGGAAGGAGUACAAGACAGCAUUCUCCACGCACCAGGGCCACUUUGAAUUCAAGGUGUUAUCCUUUGGGUUAGCUGGUGCUCCUCCCACGUUCAUCGAAGGGCUGACUACAACUCUCAAACCGGUGAUACGUGUCUGUGUGCUCUGUUUCUUCGAUGACAUCUUAAUUUUCAGCGCCACAUUGGAAGAGCACAAGUGCCACGUGAGGCAGGUGCUGGAACUGCUUCGCAAGGACCAGUGGAAGGUGAAGCUCAGCAAGUGUGCACUUGGGCAA
rnacentral:rRNA from 1 species